CCACACCUAUAGAGAGCAGAUUGUUAGCCAAGGUUGCAAACUCUGAAUGAAUGUGAUGACAUUAAGGUCCAGGUGCUCCCUUGUGGAAAAAGGUUGGCAGCAGCCCUGCACAUGUGUAGUCUAUCCCCAGGUUAUAAAUAUUAGAAAUGAAAAGUGUGAUCAAUCUUUUGUUCAUAGGGUCUCUAAAAACCUACGAACAAAUAAUUCUAAAGAUGGACAUCACGGAGUAUUUAGACAGGGAACCAGUUCCCUUUUAUUGUGUUUGUUACAGCUGCAGCGAUUGGCAAUAAGGAUUUCUGCAGCUGAAAGCCCCUCUUCUCAAUGACAGAGUGGUCUAGUACAAAAUACUAGUAGGGCAUGUAAACUCCAUACAAACUCAAGCUGCUUUUGAUGGGUGACUUUUCUAGGUAAGACAGCUGAACAAAGCUACUUACAGUAAAAACACAAUUGGAAAAGUUUAGGUUGUACAAGGUCAAAGCUCUGCUUAUAUUCGCUUGUGCAGUAGUUUCCUUCAUAUCUUUUUAAGAACUAUAUUCAGGCAACAGCAUUAAAGGGGUUAUUUCAGGCUAUUUAGAGCAUUAAAUGAAGUUGCAUUGAUUAGCAAGGGUACCUAAUUAAGUAUAUAGUCCUUUCACUUUCUUCCUGUCCAAUAGUCAGCCAAGUAAAGUGGCAGCAAAUCAAUGCAAAAAAGCACAUUAUUCAGUUCAAACAUCAAUAUGGGGAAGAAGCACGAUUUAACGCCAAACUUGAGCUUGAACAGGUCAGAGAUGGCUGAUCACAGCUACAGGUUAAUAAGUCCGGUCACAAAGAAUAAACAAACAAUCUCAAACUGGUCCCACUAACAUGGCAAGGAGUUUACUCCAGUGGCCUCUGCAGUCGUUCUCAAUCCAAUAGAGAACCUUUAGAAUUCUGUGAAGCUCCCACUUAAUGUACUGUCAACAAAUCCACAGACAAAACAAAAUGCUGUCAUGGAAACAUGGUCUAGAAUCUUUAAAGAGUUAUUUCAGGAGCUUGCUGAAUUUGUGUCAUGAAGAAUCCAGGCUGUUGAGGCCAAU